rnacentral:rRNA from 1 species
GUAGGGGGCAAGCGUUAUCCGGAAUUACUGGGUGUAAAGGGAGCGUAGACGGUUAGGUAAGUCUGGAGUGAAAGGCGGGGGCCCAACCCCCGGACUGCUCUGGAAACUAUCAGACUGGAGUGCAGGAGAGGCAGGCGGAAUUCCUGGUGUAGCGGUGAAAUGCGUAGAUAUCAGGAGGAACAUCGGUGGCGAAGGCGGCCUGCUGGACUGUAACUGACGUUGAGGCUCGAAAGCGUGGGGAGCAAA